UAUCUUCGGGGCAGGGUGAAAUUCCCGACCGACGGUGAUGAGUGAAAUACUCUAAGCCCGUGAGCUUGAUUUGAUUAAGCAGGAUUUGGUGCGAUUCCAAAGCCGACAGUACAGUCUGGAUGGGAGAAGAUG
rnacentral:ncRNA from 1 species